rnacentral:rRNA from 1 species
UACGUAGGGUGCAGGCGUUAAUCGGAAUUAUUGGGCGUAAAGAGCUCGUAGGCGGUUUGUCGCGUCUGCCGUGAAAGUCCGGGGCUCAACUCCGGAUCUGCGGUGGGUACGGGCAGACUAGAGUGAUGUAGGGGAGACUGGAAUUCCUGGUGUAGCGGUGAAAUGCGCAGAUAUCAGGAGGAACACCGAUGGCGAAGGCAGGUCUCUGGGCAUUAACUGACGCUGAGGAGCGAAAGCAUGGGGAGCGAACAGG